UGGGGAAUAUUGGACAAUGGGCGCAAGCCUGAUCCAGCCAUGCCGCGUGAGUGAUGAAGGCCCUAGGGUUGUAAAGCUCUUUCACCGGUGAAGAUAAUGACGGUAACCGGAGAAGAAGCCCCGGCUAACUUCGUGCCAGCAGCCGCGGUAAUACGAAGGGGCUAGCGUUGUUCGGAUUUACUGGGCGUAAAGCGCACGUAGGCGGACUUUUAAGUCAGGGGUGAAAUCCCGGGGCUCAACCCCGGAACUGCCUUUGAUACUGGAAGUCUUGAGUAUGGUAGAGGUGGGUGGAAUUCCGGGUGUAGAGGUGAAAUUCGUAGAUAUUCGGAGGAACACCAGUGGAGAAGGCGGCUCACUGGACCAUUACUGACGCUGAGGUGCGAAAGCGUGGGGAGCAAACAGG
rnacentral:rRNA from 1 species